GGAGGGAUCGCAUAGAGGUCUAGUGCGGCCGCCUGCUAAGCGGUUAAGGCGUGAAANCGCUUUCAUGGGUUCGAAUCCCAUUCCCUCCGCCA
rnacentral:tRNA from 1 species